GACGAACGCUGGCGGCGUGCCUAAUACAUGCAAGUAGAACGCUGAAGGAGGAGCUUGCUUCUCUGGAUGAGUUGCGAACGGGUGAGUAACGCGUAGGUAACCUGCCUGGUAGCGGGGGAUAACUAUUGGAAACGAUAGCUAAUACCGCAUAAUAGCAGUUGUUGCAUGAUAACUGUUUGAAAGGUGCAAUUGCACCACUACCAGAUGGACCUGCGUUGUAUUAGCUAGUUGGUGGGGUAACGGCUCACCAAGGCGACGAUACAUAGCCGACCUGAGAGGGUGAUCGGCCACACUGGGACUGAGACACGGCCCAGACUCCUACGGGAGGCAGCAGUAGGGAAUCUUCGGCAAUGGACGGAAGUCUGACCGAGCAACGCCGCGUGAGUGAAGAAGGUUGUCGGAUCGUAAAGCUCUGUUGUAAGAGAAGAACGAGUGUGAGAGUGGAAAGUUCACACUGUGACGGUAUCUGACCAGAAAGGGACGGCUAACUACGUG
rnacentral:rRNA from 1 species